AAAAAUUUGGAACAAUACAGAGAAGAUUAGCAUGGCCCCUGCAUAAGGAUGACGUGCAAAUUCGUGAAGCGUUUCAUAAAAGU
rnacentral:snRNA from 1 species